AUUUAACAAAUUUGGCCCAAUUACAAAUAUCAUUAUGAGUCAUACAUCUAACCCGUAAGUUUUGCAAUCGAAUGUGAAGCCCACAUAUGGAAUUAUUCCAAUAGUGCAAUGAUAUGUCGGAAUCUUGUUUCUCGACGAUUCGAGCUGGGCGGUCAAAGAUUUUUGACAAUUCUUCAUCUUCCUCGUUCGGCUCAUGAUUCACCGCUUCAUUAACGGUACUCGAUUCCCUGCUUGAAUCUUCACUUUUAUGUCAUUUGAAGCAAUAGAUCUCGUAAU
rnacentral:lncRNA from 1 species